GAAUCAUUCAGAGCUUCACACGCCUGCAGAGAAGAUGGAAAUGAAGAUGAACUGUGUGUGUUUGGUGCUGGGGCUGGUCCUGCUGAUGACCGUCUCCUCAGAUGCUCAGCCUUUUGCCCCUGGCCAUCCUCAACUGUGCUGUUUCAACUUUGUCACUUUUAAAAUUCCAGAACAAAAUAUCAUAAAAGUGGAAAAAACACAUUCCGACUGCCCAAAGCCCGGCUAUGUGAUUACAACGAAGAAGGCCAGAUUCUGCAAGAAGCACCUGCAAUAAAUCUAGAUUUCAGAGCUGCAGCUUCAACACAGCCCAGAUGCAGCAAACAGAGCAGCUAAAAGCUUUACACACCCCUUUAAUCAUCACAUGAUUUUAUCCAUCAGUGCUUUGCAUUUUUACUCAGUGUAUCAGUUCAAUUUUUGAUCAGCUUUUUAUCAUAUUAUCAGUGAUUGUUUAACUGUGGAAAUAAAACAAUUUAUGACAAAAAUCUCUUCAGAGAAAAAUAACAUCAUAAAGACAAAUUAGAGUUCGGUGCUCCAGCUUCUAUACAAUAUACUAUAUACAAUGUACAAUACAGCUUCUAUACAAUAUAGUGUCUUUACAAUAUUGUUAAUGCCUAUGUUAUGCUGUGAAU